rnacentral:lncRNA from 1 species
UGAAGAUUGGGGAUUGCGGGCGCGUCAGGAGAACUAUGCCAUUUUUGGGUCAGGACUGGAGAUCUCCUGGAUGGAGUUGGAUUAAGACAGAAGAUGGCUGGAAGAGUUGUGAAUCUUGUAGUCAGAAACUUGAAAGAGAGAAUAACCAUUGUAACAUCAGUCACAGCAUAUCCGCCCCUUUGAAUCAAUGGCUGCUAACACAAGCAUCCCUGCACAAAAAGGUUUUAUGACAGCAACCCUGGCUACCUUCUGUGGGGCACGGUGAGCGAGAACUAGUCAGCACCACCUUUUACCCCACCUAGUUGCUUUGCAGUACUGGGACCGCCCCGGCUUCCUACUCUGCCAUUUCGUUCAUCUUUCGUUCAUCUUCCUCGGACUUCUGUCCGUUCCUACAAAAAUGCAAAUC